rnacentral:rRNA from 1 species
UUGCUGGAGGUAUCAGAAGUGCGAAUGCUGACAUAAGUAACGAUAAAGCGGGUGAAAAGCCCGCUCGCCGGAAGACCAAGGGUUCCUGUCCAACGUUAAUCGGGGCAGGGUGAGUCGACCCCUAAGGCGAGGCCGAAAGGCGUAGUCGAUGGGAAACGGGUUAAUAUUCCCGUACUUGGUGUUACUGCGAAGGGGGGACGGAGAAGGCUAUGUUGGCCGGGCGACGGUUGUCCCGGUUUAAGCGUGUAGGUGUGUGUUCCAGGUAAAUCCGGUUCACUUUAACACUGAGGCGUGACGACGAGGCACUACGGUGCUGAAGCAACAAAUGCCCUGCUUCCAGGAAAAGCCUCUAAGCAUCAGGUAACAUCAAAUCGUACCCCAAACCGACACAGGUGGUCAGGUAGAGAAUACCAAGGCGCUUGAGAGAACUCGGGUGAAGGAACUAGGCAAAAUGGUGCCGUAACUUCGGGAGAAGGCACGCUGACACGUAGGUGAAGUGAUUUACUCAUGGAGCUGAAGUCAGUCGAAGAUACCAGCUGGCUGCAACUGUUUAUUAAAAACACAGCACUGUGCAAACACGAAAGUGGACGUAUACGGUGUGACGCCUGCCCGGUGCCGGAAGGUUAAUUGAUGGGGUCAGCGCAAGCGAAGCUCCUGAUCGAAGCCCCGGUAAACGGCGGCCGUAACUAUAACGGUCCUAAGGUAGCGAAAUUCCUUGUCGGGUAAGUUCCGACCUGCACGAAUGGCGUAAUGAUGGCCAGGCUGUCUCCACCCGAGACUCAGUGAAAUUGAACUCGCUGUGAAGAUGCAGUGUACCCGCGGCAAGACGGAAAGACCCCGUGAACCUUUACUAUAGCUUGACACUGAACAUUGAGCCUUGAUGUGUAGGAUAGGUGGGAGGCUUUGAAGUGUGGACGCCAGUCUGCAUGGAGCCGACCUUGAAAUACCACCCUUUAAUGUUUGAUGUUCUAACGUGGACCCGUUACCCGGGUUGCGGACAGUGUCUGGUGGGUAGUUUGACUGGGGCGGUCUCCUCCUAAAGAGUAACGGAGGAGCACGAAGGUUGGCUAAUCCUGGUCGGACAUCAGGAGGUUAGUGCAAUGGCAUAAGCCAGCUUGACUGCGAGCGUGACGGCGCGAGCAGGUGCGAAAGCAGGUCAUAGUGAUCCGGUGGUUCUGAAUGGAAGGGCCAUCGCUCAACGGAUAAAAGGUACUCCGGGGAUAACAGGCUGAUACCGCCCAAGAGUUCAUAUCGACGGCGGUGUUUGGCACCUCGAUGUCGGCUCAUCACAUCCUGGGGCUGAAGUAGGUCCCAAGGGUAUGGCUGUUCGCCAUUUAAAGUGGUACGCGAGCUGGGUUUAGAACGUCGUGAGACAGUUCGGUCCCUAUCUGCCGUGGGCGCUGGAGAACUGAGGGGGGCUGCUCCUAGUACGAGAGGACCGGAGUGGACGCAUCACUGGUGUUCGGGUUGUCAUGCCAAUGGCACUGCCCGGUAGCUAAAUGCGGAAGAGAUAAGUGCUGAAAGCAUCUAAGCACGAAACUUGCCCCGAG